UCCCUGGUGGUUCAGGGGUUAAGAUGCUGCACUUCCAGUGCAGGAGCACAGGUUCGAUCCCUGGUUGGGGAA
rnacentral:tRNA from 1 species